rnacentral:rRNA from 1 species
AGCUCCAAUAGCGUAUAUUAAAGUUGUUGCGGUUAAAAAGCUCGUAGUUGGAUUUCUGUUGAGGUCGACCGGUGCGCACUCCGUGUGUUAUUUGGUUCGGUCUCGGCAUCCUCGUGGGGAACGUUUCUGGACUUUAUUGGACAGGGCGAGAUUCACGACUUUUACUUUGAGGAAAUUAGAGUGUUCACGGCAAGCAAUCGCUUUGAAUACAUUAGCAUGGAAUAAUAAUAUAGGACCUUGGUACUAUUUUGUUGGUUUCUAGAACUAAGGUAAUGAUUAAUAGGGAUAAUUGGGGGCAUUCGUAUUAACGCGUCAGAGGUGGAAUUCUUGGAUUGCGUUACGACGAACUACUGCGAAAGCAUUUGCCAAGGAUGUUUUCA